rnacentral:rRNA from 1 species
AUGAUUCGGUAUUUGAAUCUCUCGGGCACUGGUAUUGCAAUGUUGCCUUCAUCAGUUGGUAGGCUCUUCAGCUUGCAAAUACUUAAGUUGAAAAACUGCCAUGAAUCAGGUUGCCUCCCACAAAGCAUAACCAGUCUUGUAAAUCUUCAAUGGCUAGAAGCAAGAACAGAGUUGGUCACAGACAUAUCCAGAAUAGGCAACUUAACUUGUCUUAAACAGUUGGAUGAAUGUGUGGUCUGUACGGACAAGGGAUACAAGAUCAGUGAACUGAAGACAAUGAAGGGGAUCCGAGUAAAUUUAGACAAAGAGAUACUUGAAGUUCUUCAACGACAUCAUGAACUGAAGGAGCUAACUGUCAAGGCAUUCGGCUCCUCCUCUCCAAAUUGGUUUAGUAGUCUUGCCCACUUGCACACCAUCCACUUGUCUGAUUGCACGAAAUGCUCAAUUCUACCAGCGCUAGGAGAGCUGCCUCAAUGGGCCUCUGUAACUGAUGAUGAAUUUCUUCUGUCCCUCAAAGAACUCGCAGUUAUGGACUGCCCGCAAUUGAAGGAUUCAGAUCCCUCAUUGCCCUUGAGAGUCUUCACAUCUAUGAUUUUCCAAGGCUGGCACCAUCAGGACAUCAUAGCUUGCUGCCCUCCAAGCUUUGAAGACUUGCGCAUCAGUUCUUGUUCCGACCUUAUUAACCCUCUUCUUCGGGAGCUUAAUGAGCUCUGUUCGCUGACACAUCUCACAAUCACCAAUUGUGCUAACCUUCAUUCUUUUCCAGUAAAGCUCCCUGUCACUCUGCAAAAAUUGGAGAUCCUCAACUGCAGUAAUCUGAUCUACUUGUCUGGUGGUCUCGAAGAUGCACCGUGUCUAUCAGCUAUAACCAUCUUGAAAUGUCCUCUCAUGCUAUGCUUACCAAGGCGCUCUACAAAAUCGUUGAAAGAACUGUAUCAAAGGAUGCCCAUAUCUAACAGAGAGCUGCCAAGAAAACAGUGGAAGAGAUUGGCAUAA